CCGGUACUGGUGCGGUGCGACAGGCACCUCCUGGGGGCCGUUGAAGUACCAGUCGAACAACGGUCCCACGCCGUCGUUCCGGUC
rnacentral:tRNA from 1 species